AUUUGAUCUGAAAUCAGGCGGAUUACCC
rnacentral:rRNA from 1 species